rnacentral:rRNA from 1 species
UUAAAAUAAGCUAUUAAGGGCUAAUGGUGGAUGCCUAGACUGUAAGAGGCGAUGAAGGACGUACUAGACUGCGAUAAGUCUUGGGGAGCUGUCAAGAAGCUUUGAUCCAGGAAUUUCCGAAUGGGACAACCCAGCAUGGUGUGAAUCAUGUUAUCCAGUAAUGGAGGCGAACCAGGGGAAGUGAAACAUCUCAGUACCCUGAGGAAGAGAAAUCAAAUGAGAUUCCGUCAGUAGCGGCGAGCGAACGCGGAUUAGGACAAACCCUAUGCUUGCAUAGGGGGUUGUAGGACCAAGAUAUGAGACCAAAGAAGAUAGAUGAGAUAGUUGGAAAGCUAUAGUAUAAAAGGUGAUACUCCUGUAAUCGAAAUCUUCAAUGGCUCUAUUGGUAUCCUGAGUAGGACGGAACACGUGAUAUUUUGUCUGAAUCUAGGGGGACCACCCUCUAAUCCUAAAUACUACUUACAGAUCGAUAGUGAACAAGUACCGUGAGGGAAAGGUGAAAAGUACCCCAGUGAGGGGAGUGAAAUAGAACCUGAAACCAUUAGCUUACAAUCAUUCGGAGCCCUAUGUUGCUUGCAACAGGGUGACGGACUGCCUUUUGCAUAAUGAGCCUGCGAGUUGUGGUGUCUGGCAAGGUUAAGUCAAGUACGAAGCCGUAGCGAAAGCGAGUCUUAAUAGGGCGAAUUAGUCAGAUGCUGCAGACCCGAAACGAAGUGAUCUAUCCAUGAGCAGGUUGAAGCUGGUGUAAGAGCUAGUGGAGGACCGAACCCGUAGGCGUUGAAAAGUCUUGGGAUGACUUGUGGAUAGGGGUGAAAGGCCAAUCAAACUUCGUGAUAGCUGGUUCUCUCCGAAAUAUAUUUAGGUAUAGCCUUAUGUAGUAACAUAUAG